rnacentral:rRNA from 1 species
GAACGGGUGAGUAACACGUGGGUGAUCUGCCCUGCACUUUGGGAUAAGCCUGGGAAACUGGGUCUAAUACCGAAUAGGACCACGCGCUUCAUGGUGUGUGGUGGAAAGCUUUUGCGGUGUNNNAUGGGCCCGCGGCCNAUCANNNNNUUGGUGGGGUAAUGGCCUACCANNNCGACGACGGGUAGCCGGCCUGAGAGGGUGACCGGCCACACUGGGACUGAGAUACGGCCCAGACUCCUACGGGAGGCAGCAGUGGGGAAUAUUGCACAAUGGGCGCAAGCCUGAUGCAGCGACGCCGCGUGAGGGAUGACGGCCUUCGGGUUGUAAACCUCUUUCAAUAGGGACGAAGCGCAAGUGACGGUACCUAUAGAAGAAGCACCGGCCAACUACGUGCCAGCAGCCGCGGUAAUACGUAGGGUGCGAGCGUUGUCCGGAAUUACUGGGCGUAAAGAGCUCGUAGGUGGUUUGUCGCAUUGUUCGUGAAAACUCACAGCUUAACUGUGGGCGUGCGGGCGAUACGGGCAGACUAGAGUACUGCAGGGGAGACUGGAAUUCCUGGUGUAGCGGUGGAAUGCGCAGAUAUCAGGAGGAACACCGGUGGCGAAGGCGGGUCUCUGGGCAGUAACUGACGCUGAGGAGCGAAAGCGUGGGGAGCGAACAGGAUUAGAUACCCUGGUAGUCCACGCCGUAAACGGUGGGUACUAGGUGUGGGUUCCUUCCUUGGGAUCCGUGCCGUAGCUAACGCANNNAGUACCCCG